UGGGGAAUAUUGCACAAUGGGCGGAAGCCUGAUGCAGCGACGCCGCGUGGGGGAUGAAGGCCUUCGGGUUGUAAACUCCUUUCGACAGGGACGAAGCUUUUGUGACGGUACCUGUAUAAGAAGCACCGGCUAACUACGUGCCAGCAGCCGCGGUAAUACGUAGGGUGCGAGCGUUGUCCGGAAUUACUGGGCGUAAAGAGCUCGUAGGUGGUUUGUCGCGUCGUCUGUGAAAUUCCGGGGCUUAACUCCGGGCGUGCAGGCGAUACGGGCUGGCUUGAGUGCUGUAGGGGAGACUGGAAUUCCUGGUGUAGCGGUGAAAUGCGCAGAUAUCAGGAGGAACACCGAUGGCGAAGGCAGGUCUCUGGGCAGUAACUGACGCUGAGGAGCGAAAGCAUGGGUAGCGAACAGG
rnacentral:rRNA from 1 species